rnacentral:rRNA from 1 species
UACGAAGGGGGCUAGCGUUGCUCGGAAUCACUGGGCGUAAAGCGCACGUAGGCGGAUUGUUAAGUCAGGGGUGAAAUCCUGGAGCUCAACUCCAGAACUGCCUUUGAUACUGGCGACCUUGAGUCCGGGAGAGGUGAGUGGAACUGCGAGUGUAGAGGUGAAAUUCGUAGAUAUUCGCAAGAACACCAGUGGCGAAGGCGGCUCACUGGCCCGGUACUGACGCUGAGGUGCGAAAGCGUGGGGAGCAACAG